rnacentral:lncRNA from 1 species
UCUUCCAUCCAGGUUAGUCCCACGAGUCACCAGGAUCUUAUCUAUGCCUCAUUACACCAUGCCUGCUCAAUUUCAUCGGGCAGAAGGACGAUUCCUUUCCCCAGCUGCAGGAGCUAUUUCUUACUGGGGUGAAACAAGAGUUUUGGGUUUGCUAGCCAAGAAGCAUUUAUCCAAAGCCAGUAAUGUGCUUGGCUCUGCUCUGCCUCUUGAUUGAAAAUCCAGAAUUUUGCUGUUGGGAAGGAAUGUUGAGUGCCUCCACCUAUCCCUAUCUCCAGCCCCUAUUUAAUAGGGAGAAUACUCAGGCUCAGAGAGGAGAGGAUAUCUAAUACCAUUCAGAGAGAUAUUAGCAGCAACUAUAUUAAAGGCCAGGCUUCCCAAUUCCAAUAGCAUUUCCUUAAUGCUCCGUAUUAUUCCAAGGCAACUAGAGGACAAACAUCUUAAAUUUAUUCCAUGCUCCCAUUUGCCUUUGUAGGUGCCCCAGGAAAUGUGCCAAUUGACUGAUGACUAAACUGGCUCUGUGAUCCUUUUAUUCUGACAUGAGACAUAAUUAUUUUGAUCCAGAAAUUCCAAAUUUUUUUUGAGGCGGGGAUUUUGAACUUUACAUUCAAACCAAAAUUUUAUAUAAAAAUGAAACUUCCAAAAUUUAAAUAAUAACCCCUUAGAAAUUGCAUCUGUUUGUGUCCUUAGCAAAUUAGAGAUAUGCUCAAUAUCAGAAGUGUCCUGAAGAUGCUUUAUUUUUUACAACAGUGAAAUAUUUUUAACAGCAUGAUAAAGCUAUUAAAUAUGAAGAUGCGGGCGCCCGGGUGGCUCAGUCGGUUAAGGGUCUGACUCUUGGUUUCGGCUCAGGUCGUGAUCUCACAGUUCAUGAGUUCGAGCCCCACACUGGGCUCCCGUGCUGACAGUGCAAAGCCUGCUUGGGAUCCUCUCUCUCCUCUCUCUAUGCCCCUCCCCCCUCAAAAUAAAUAAAUUAACUUGGGGAUAAAAAAGUAAGUAUGAAAGUUUAUUCAUUUGUUCGCGAGCUACAUGCCAAUGCCUUCUCUGUGGCACACGCUGUUCCAGUUCUAGGGAUGCCGCAAGGAAUGGAUAGAACCCUCUGCCUUCACAAACGUAGGUGCUGAUGAAAGGAGACGAACAACAAGCGAUAAAGGAGUAAAAUAGUAUAGAAUGUCAGAUAGCAGUCCAUGCUUUGGAGAAAAAACAAAGGAGGGAAGAAGGACUUGAAGUACUUGAAAAGGGGGGGCGGGGCAUUCUGUUCUAAAUAGCUUGGUGAGGAAAGACCUCGCAGAUAGGAAAGGUAUGCGCGCAGGGCAUUCCAAGCCAAAAGGAAUGGCACAUGCAAACUACCCAAGAGAGGGGCAUGCCAGAUCUAUCCGACAGAAGCAGAAGAGGAAGGCAGCCAAAGUUUCUGGAAGGGUGUGAGCCAAGGAAGAGAGUGCUAGCAGAAGAAGCCACAGAAUAUUGCAUCAGCUUUCUUCUUUCUUUCCUUUAUUUUCUUUCUUUCUUAUCUUUAAACCAAAGAUGGAAGACUUUCUUGGAGUCUCUGCACCCAGUUAAACUUUCCUUUGAAAGAAUUCAUCGUUUUCCUUUUGCUACUGGGGAAAGUACAUAAAAUGUCCAGGUUACUAAUCAAGCUUCAAAGGUAACAGGGGAACACUGUCAUCUGAGAACUGCUAAGGAUUGAUUAAUUUUGAAAUAAUUUCUAUUUCAGGCUGAAAAUUCCACCUAUCUGCUGGAACUGACAGCCAAGAUUGAUCACCCAAGCCAAGUUAAUCAUAACAAAUGAAAAUGUUGAGGCACCUGUAAUUAAUUACUACCUAACUGAGAUUCCCAUCUUUGCUAAAGAUAGCCCCUGAAUGUAUCAGGUCACCCAUCUUUCAGUUUCUUGAACUAGAUUCAUAAUUCCAUUUUCCUUCUGACUCCCCUCAGAACCCGCCACAUGUCUUACACAGACAAUUACUUUUUCCAUCAGGUUUUAAGAGUAUGAUAUGUAGGAUGUAUGCAAUUAAAGGAAAUGAGGAGUCCUGUGAUGAUAGCCCUUCUCUGCUGGCUCAGAAGAACUGGUAUUCAGGAAUAAUUUUGAAGUAUAUGACCUCUUUCCCCCUUUUUAUUUUCCUGACCUUCCUUAAAAUACUGUGAAUUAGGUAUUUUUGUCAUCAUUAUUAUGAUUCAUAUUUUACAUGUGAGAAACAGUGGUCGAAGUGCUUACCAAGCUUUUCAAUUCUCUUUUCUUCAUCAAACUGCCUAGGGCUGCAGUUCAUUUGAUGCCUUUGUGCUCAGCUUGGUCUCAUUAACCAUUUCCAGUUCAACAGAGUUCCACACCAACCACAUAAUAAGGACAAAAAAAAAAAGUUUGAUGGAUUGAACUUAACUGCUCUUCGUGAAAUGUCUUCUACUCAUUACUUGUCUUCUACUCACAUUCUUCUCUCAGAACUCAGCUGAGAUGCCACUCACUCCGGGAGACUUCUACAGAAGUUCGUCCUCCCUCAGAUGAAUGGUCUCGCCAUCCCCUAUGCUUCCCGUGUACGUCGUGCACCUGUUAAAUCAUAAUCUCUGUAACUACAACUCCCAAUUCUGUUUGUAGCUCAACACAUACUCAUUGAAAAAAGGUAUUGAUAAGAAUCUCCAUCACAAGCCCACAGCUAACAUCAUACUUAAUGGGGAAAAGCUAAAAGGUAUUUUUUUUUGAAGAGCGGGAAUGAGAAGCCCACCCUCACCACUUUUAUUCAUCAUAGUACUAGAAGCCCUAGCCAGAGCAAUUACACAAGAAAAAUAAAUAAAAGCCACCCAAAUUGAAAAGGUAGAAGUAAAAUUAUCCUUAUUUGUUGAUGAUGUGAUCUUAUAUACAGAAAACCCUAGACUCCACCAAAAACUUUUAGAACAAACAAAUUUAUACACACACACACACACACACACACACAUAUAUGUAUGUAUAUGUGUAUAGAUAUGAAAAAAAUCCCUGAGCAAACACACAUAUAUACAAAUAUGUAUAUGUGUGUGUGUGUGUGUGUGUGUGUGUAUAUAUGUGUGUGUGUAUGAAAAAAGUCCCUGAGCAAACACACAUAUAUACAAAUGUGUAUAUAUGUGUGUAUAUAUAUAUAUACAUGUAAAUAUAUAUAUGUGUGUGUGUGUGUAUGUAUGAAAAAAGUCCCUGAACAAACAAAAACACAUAUACAUACAAAUGUGUAUAUAUAUGUGGAUAUAUAUAAAUAUAAAUAUAAAUAUAAAUAUAAAUAUAAAUAUAAAUAUAAAUAUAAAUAUAUAUCCCUGAGCAAACAAACAACAAAGCAGACACAGACUCACAAACACAUAGAGCACUGGUGGUUGCCAGGCGGCAGGGGGGUGGAGAGUUGAGUGAAGUAGGUGAGGGGAUUAAGAGGUGCCAACUUCCAGUUAUAAAAUAAAUAAGUCAUAGAAAUGAAAAGCACAGCAUAGGGAAUAUAUUAUUGUAAUAACAUUGUAAAAGAUACAAAGGAAAUCCUGCCAUUUUUAACAAUAUAGACGAAACUGGAGGGUAUGAGGCUAAGUGAAAUAAACCAGACAGAGAACGACAAAUGCUGCAUUGCAUCACUUACAUGUGGACUCUAAAAAAAAUAGAAAUAAAAAAAUCCAAACUCCUAGAAACAGGGAACAGAAUGGUAGUUUCCAAUGAUUGGGAAGGGAGGGAGGAUAGGGAGAGGUUGGUAAAAAGAUGCAAACGUUCAGUUUUAAGAUGAAUAAGGUCUGAAGCUCUAACGUAAACAUGGCGACUGUACUUGAUGACACUGUAUUGGGUAACUGAAAUUUCCUGGGAGAGUAGAACUUAUGUUGUUCUUAUAAUAAAAACAACCAAACAUGAGAAAGGAUGGAUAUGUGAACUCAUUGGUAGGAAUCCUUCCACAAUGUAUACAUAUAUGAAGUCAUCAUGUUGUACACUUUAAAUAUAUUUUAUUUAAAUAUAUUUAGAUAAAUAUAGUUUAUGUAGGCUGAUAGAAAACAUACAUUUGAUUCUAUGUGUCAAUUAUACCUCAAUAAAGCUGAAAAAAAAAAGCCCAUAGAAGAAAAAUAGUCUUUUAUGACCUUAGGAACCUGCUAGAGAUAUCAAACACUGCACAAAAAAGAUAGUGUGCGAUAGACCCUGUAGGAAUCCCAGAAAUGGGGGUGGAGCAAAGGCCAUGGGAGUGGCUGAUAGCAAGAUGGGGAAAAUAGCCUCUGCUCUCAAGGAGCUUGGAGCCUAAAAUGCUAGUAUCAUGUUAAUUAAAGCACGUAGACAAGUGGAAGAAAUAAAUAAUAAACACGUGAAAGAAACGGAGACAGAUUCUGUUACCAUUCGAAGGAUGGGAAGAUUAAAUCUGGUUGCUGAGCUCAAGGAGAUAUUGGUGGAGGAAAGUAUUUAGGGGUCAGUUCUGAAGAAAGGAAGAAGCAUUGAUAUCUGGAGAUGUCAUGUGGGGAGCUGGGGGUGGGGUGGGAUGCAGGUACAGAAAGUCAAAGUCCAGGGCACAGAAUAAAAGUAUGGUGGUGACAUGGGCGAUGUGGGGCCAGCAUGGUAGUGAAGAUUGGUCCUAACACUGAGGAAGAGAAGGAGCCAGACGGGUCUCUUGAUUAAGGGACCAUGUGUUGUGAGUCAAGAGAGGGCACAUCUGGGAUUGCAGGCAAAUAUUGUGGAAAAGCAGAGAAGUGACCGGUGUCAUGGGGUUGAUAGACUCAAACACCUCCAGGAGGCAGAACACAGCAGAUGGAAGAAAUGGACCUGAUUUGGGAGCUCUGCAGCAGAUCCUAGUCCUGCCAUUUAUUCUGGGACCCGGGGCAAUGUUUCUGAACACAUUUGUGUGAUGUUAGACACUGCUGUUCAUUUUCUUUUUUUUUUAAACAUUUACUUACUUUUGAGAGAGUAUGAGUGGGGGAGGGGCAGAGAGAGAGGGAGACGGAAAAUUCGAAGCAGGCUUCAGGCUCUGAGCUGUUAGCACAGAGCCCCAUGCACAGAGCACAGAGCUCCAACUCAAAAACCAUGAGAUCAUGACCUGAGCCGAAGUCAGACGCUUAACCGGCUGAGCCACCCAGACGCCCCGCUACCGUUCAUUUUCUUAAGUGCCGAUCUUCCCAGCAAUCCCACUGAAUAAGAGUCAUUACUGCUGAUUUUACAGAUGAAGUAGAGUUGUCUAGAGAUAACACAAUUUAUCCUUCUGCAUAUGCCCUUGUGUUUACUCACACAAACAGAAUCAAUUUGAGACGCUUAAAGGUUUUUGUACAAAGUGUCGCACUUUGCUUAGAAAGAACCCAAACUUGACUGUGACCUCCCUGGGCCCCAGACUCUUUCUCGGUGUGUGGUUUCCAUCAUUCUAUCAAGAACCUGGAUUAUGUAGACACUCAAUGCGUGACUGAUGAUUUGCGUUGAUAUGAAACAUAUCGGAUAUAAAAUAAAUAUAAAUAUAAGGAUAUCUAUGUUUAUGAUUGUGUAAUUAUAACAUUCUGUGCUUGUAGAGUUUAUAACAACUUUCAACUUGGUACAGUUGUUACAUGUCUCAAAGUUCUGGAGUUGGCACUACUUUAUAUGGAAACUUUGCUACCUCCCCCAUAGGGUCCUUGUGAGCUUUUAAAUGAUGAAUGUUUGUAGUUAUAGUGCCUAUCAUGGGGUAAAUGCCUAGCCAAUGUUAUAAUAGUUAUUGGUAUCAUCAUCAUUGCUAUCAUAAUUAUUUUCACUUCCAAAUUGCCUUCUAGAGUCUCCAGGGCUGGUGUGAUCAUCCUAGUUGUGUAGAGGGGAAUCCAUUGGGCUCAGGAGGGAAUAAAUGGCUGCGUGUAACAGAUCUGCAAAAAGAUUUUAGCUCUUUUGCCUCUUGUACAGUGGUCUUUCCCUUGCCAUCAUGUCUCAGCAUAUCCAUGUUAGAAAAUUCUUCCAGUUGGGGAAAAAAGUUGGCAGAAAGGAAAGUUAAUGAGCUGAAUCAUGCAGACAGACAGAUUGGAAAAAUAUUGUUGUUCCUUUUGCAUGUUAUGUUCUUGCCAGAAAUCAAGUAGGUGGAGAUUUUGAAGAGUAACCAGUUAGAUAAAUAUGGUGGUUUCAAAUAACCGGGUUUAGAGCCAGACCAACUAUAUGUCAAGUUUGAAGGAAAAAAUCAGCAAAUUCAGGCAUGAUGCUGAACUCAUUGAGCUUGACUUACUACCAAAUUUCUCUCUUCAAAAGUAAUGACUCUAAAGAAUUAUAAAUACCAUAACCCUACAUCAUGAAGUAUAACUUAUUCCAAGAGAAGUUUUAUAUUUAAGUCACCUCAAAGUUUUGGGAGUUAACUAAGACUACCAAUGUCCAAGUCUGACCCCUGGAGCCUAAGAAAAGGAUUAAAAUGUUGACAUAGCAAUUGAGGGCUAAUCACCUCACUAUAUCUAUCUGCUCAGAGGUCACUCUCUGUCUUUAACCCUUGUCUACAACUCACACCAGCCUCCGU